AAGCUGGAAUCGCUAGUAAUCGCAGAUCAGAAUGCUGCGGUGAAUACGUUCCCGGGUCUUGUACACACCGCCCGUCACACCAUGGGAGUCAGUAACGCCCGAAGUCAGUGACCUAACCGCAAGGGAGGAGCUGCCGAAGGCGGGACCGAUAACUGGGGUGAAGUCGUAACAAGGUACC
rnacentral:rRNA from 1 species